AAACGGAGGGUGCAAACGUUGCUCGGAAUUACUGGGCGUAAAGCGCAUGCAGGCGGUUUGUUAAGUUUCGUGUGAAAGCCCUGGGCCUAACCCAGGAAGUGCACGGAAAACUGGCAAACUAGAGUACUGGAGAAGUGGGCGGAAUUCCGGGUGUAGAGGUGAAAUUCGUAGAUAUCCGGAGGAACACCAGCAGCGAAAGCGGUUCACUUGACAGAUACUGACGCUCAGAUGCGAAAGCGUGGGGAGCAAACAGGAUUAGAAACCCCAGUAGUCC
rnacentral:rRNA from 1 species